UGGAGCAGCUCAAAUUUCUUGAGAGUACUUAGGACAUGUAGCAAUACAAAGAGAGACAGACGGGAGAAUGGAGAAGAAAAAUUAACACUUAACUAUUAUGUUUAUAUAACCAUUACAUUUGCAAUCAGCUGACAAUUAUGAUGCACACACCUGUAUAAAGUAGAUCUAGAAAUAUUAAUUAAA